UCCGAUAUGGUCUAGUGGCUAGGAUUUGCCGCUCUCAUUGCAGAGUUAGUUCACUCCAGAAGUGCCGGCAAGGCCCGGGUUCGAUUCCCGGUGUCGGAA
rnacentral:tRNA from 1 species